UACAUGGGGUGCAAACGUUGCUCGGAAUUAUUGGGCGUAAAGCGCGCGUAGGCGGUUACUCAAGUCGGAUGUGAAAGCCCUCGGCUUAACUGAGGAAGUGCACCCGAAACUGAGUAGCUAGAGUACUAAAGAGGGUCGCGGAAUUCCCGGUGUAGAGGUGAAAUUCGUAGAUAUCGGGAGGAACACCAGUGGCGAAGGCGGCGACCUGGGCCAAUAUUGACGCUGAGGUGCGAAAGCGUGGGGAGCAAACAGG
rnacentral:rRNA from 1 species